rfam:Picea glauca, whole genome shotgun sequence.
AAUGUAAUGCAUACAUUUACAAUGCAUUGGAUCCCAUUAGAACUCAGCAGUUAAGCACGCUUGGGAUAGAGUAGUACUGGGAUGGGUGACCUCCCGGGAAUUCCUAGUGUUUUACAUGC